rnacentral:rRNA from 1 species
GAUGAACGCUGGCGGCGUGCCUAAUACAUGCAAGUCGAGCGAACAGACGAGGAUCUUGCUCCUCUCACGUUACCGGCGGACGGGUGAGUAACACGUAGAUAACCUACCUAUAAGGCUUGGCUAACUUCGGGAAACCGGAGCUAAUACCGGAUAAUAUAUUGAACCGCAGGGUUCAAUAGUGAAAGAGGGGUUUGCGGUCGCUUAUAGAUGGAUCCGCGCGGUAUUAGCUAGUUGGUAAGGUAACGGCUUACCAAGGCAACGAUGCGUAGCCGAGCUGAGAGGGGGAUGGCGCACACUGGGAGUGAGACGCGGUACAGACUCCGACGGGAGGCCGAGGUAGCGAAUCUUGGGCAAUGGGCGGAAGCCUGAAGGAGCAACGCCGGGUGGGUGAAGAAGGUCUUCGGAUCGUAAAACGCUGUUAUUAGGGAAGAACAAAUGUGCAAGUAACUAUGCACGUUUUGACGGUACCUAAUCAGGAAGCAACGGCUAACUACGUG